AUGAUGGACUCCCUUUUGAAAGCUGCACAUGAGUACAUAAGGAAAAAUUGUAACAAAUAUUUGGGGGACCUGGGAUUCGAACCCAGGUCCCAAUGUUCACAAGCUCACGCCCCAGCCACUCAACCAUCCUGCUUUAUUUGUUAUUAUGAUAAGAAGAAAAAAAAAUAUGAAAUAAAUGAAUAUGCUUGCAAAAAUAAAAAUAAAAGCGCGUAA